UACGGAGGGAGCUAGCGUUGUUCGGAAUUACUGGGCGUAAAGCGCACGUAGGCGGCUUUGUAAGUUAGAGGUGAAAGCCCGGGGCUCAACCCCGGAAUUGCCUUUAAGACUGCAUCGCUUGAAUCCAGGAGAGGUGAGUGGAAUUCCGAGUGUAGAGGUGAAAUUCGUAGAUAUUGGAAGAACACCAGUGGCGAAGGCGGCUCACUGGACUGGUAUUGACGCUGAGG
rnacentral:rRNA from 1 species